GCCUCUAGCGAGCUGGUACAUGGCCCGUACCCCAAACCGACACAGGUGGUCAGGUAGAGAAUACUAAGGCGAUCGAGAGAACUGUGGUUAAGGAACUCGGCAAAAUGCCCCCGUAACUUCGGGAGAAGGGGGACCAGUCCUGGUGACGACAUUUACUGUCUGAGCUGGGGUUGGUCGCAGAGACCAGAGAGAAGCGACUGUUUACUAAAAACACAGGUCCGUGCGAAGUCGUAAGACGAUGUAUACGGACUGACGCCUCCCCGGUGCUGGAAGGUUAAGAGGACCGGUCAGCCACUUCGGUGGCGAAGCUGAGAAUUUAAGCCCCAGUAAACGGCGGUGGUAACUAUAACCAUCCUAAGGUAGCGAAAUUCCUUGUCGGGUAAGUUCCGACCUGCACGAAUGGCGUAACGACUUCUCUGCUGUCUCAACCACAGACUCGGCGAAAUUGCAGUACGAGUAAAGAUGCUCGUUACGCGCGGCAGGACGAAAAGACCCCGGGACCUUCACUAUAGCUUGGUAUUGGUGUUCGGUUCGGUUUGUGUAGGAUAGGUGGGAGACUGUGAAACUCGCACGCCAGUGUGGGUGGAGUCAUUGUUGAAAUACCACUCUGACCGUAUUGGACAUCUAACCUCGGACCAUGAUCUGGUUCAGGGACAGUGCCUGGUGGGUAGUUUAACUGGGGCGGUUGCCUCCCAAAAAGUAACGGAGGCGCCCAAAGGUUCCCUCAGCCUGGUUGGCAAUCAGGUGUUGAGUGUAAGUGCACAAGGGAGCUUGACUGUGAGACGUACAUGUCGAGCAGGGACGAAAGUCGGGACUAGUGAUCCGGCACCGGCAAGUGGAAGCGGUGUCGCUCAACGGAUAAAAGGUACCCCGGGGAUAACAGGCUGAUCUUCCCCAAGAGUCCAUAUCGACGGGAUGGUUUGGCACCUCGAUGUCGGCUCGUCGCAUCCUGGGGCUGGAGUAGGUCCCAAGGGUUGGGCUGUUCGCCCAUUAAAGCGGCACGCGAGCUGGGUUUAGAACGUCGUGAGACAGUUCGGUCUCUAUCCGCCGCGCGCGUAAGAAACUUGAGGAAACCUGUCCCUAGUCCGAGAGGACCGGGACGGACGAACCUCUGGUGUGCCAGUUGUUCCACCAGGAGCACCGCUGGUUAGCUACGUUCGGAAGGGAUAACCGCUGAAAGCAUCUAAGCGGGAAGCCUGUUCCAAGAUGAGGUUUCUCACCACCUAGCGUGGUUAAGGCCCCCCACAGACCAUGGGGUUGAUAGGCCAGAACUGUAAGCACAGCAAUGUGUUCAGGUGACUGGUACUAAUCGGCCGAGGACUUAC
rnacentral:rRNA from 1 species